rnacentral:lncRNA from 1 species
AUCUUGGCUCGGGCGCGCGCCCCUCUGUGGCCGGAGUGGCCUAGCCCAAAAUGGCGGCGUGGCCCUGAGGCGGCGCUCGGCUCCUUCGCGAGGGUACAAAACUCUUGUGUUUUAGCGCAGAUGUGGCGCGAGCUCGUCGAGGGAAGUAACAACAAAGAUUACUGAGGAGUUACCAUGGAGACUGAAACAGUCCAAGUCCAGCAAAAGGCAAACGUGUAGUCAAACCCCAGUAUAUGCGUAUACAUAAACAGGACCUAGUGGAUUAUUUCUAUUAAAUUAAAUUAUCAGGAGAUAUUAUAUGCUUAUUAUCCCAUGGCAGCUAGGGUUGGGAUCAGAUGAACUUUAAGGCCCACAAGUUUCUAUGAUCUACUGGCGAAAUGCUUUUAAUGACGCUAAAAGAUCAUUUAAAUUUACAGCAAAAUUAUACAGUCAGGCCCAAAAGUGACACCAGAUGGCGCCAGGCACCACAGGCAGAGCCAGCCUGAGAAAUACCUUGACUCCCAGGUGGUGAGGUCCCACUUGAUCUAAGAGGGAAUAAAGCUCCUCUGUGGCUGACUGACCUUCCACUCAAGCAUGGCUAUGUUGCAUUUUCUUAUACUGAGGUUAGAGAUACUUGCAAAUGCUGGAAGAAGGAAGAUCCUUGGUUUUGCAUUGAAGACUCAUGUUUACUUGGAACCUUUUUUCUGUGAAAGAUGCACUGACCAACCACUUUUAGUAGCACCAAUAGGAAAUGUAAGAACUGCGUAAAACUGCUCCUCCCUAGGAAACCAAAAUCCCACGGCGCAACCCCGGGCCACGCCCCCCGGUCGGGCCGGGCCCAGAAAGGGGCGCUGUCUCUUUAAGGCGACGGUGCGGGCGCCCCCUGGCGGCGGCGGCGCGGAGCCC